GCUCUACAACAAUGGUGAGACCUGCACUUUGCACAGAGCCUGGUGAGCAAGAGUGAGGACCGAGGGCUACCUCCUGCUGAAAUGCCCUGUGAAGUAGGUUCUACUGCCAACUCCAUUUAUGGGUGAGGAAAUCAAAGUAUUUCUGCUAUUGGAUUAUACCAACAAAGCUACCAAUUACUGUGGAAAUUCUUCUUACCUCCUAGUGUGGAUGAACUGUGCUUGUCUUGGCCUUUUCAUCUCGACAUUUAACGGAGAAGAAUUUCAAUUGUUUGCAGUCAAUCCCACAGUGCUUUUCCAAUUUCCCUUUGUUUUCUUUGGGAUUUUCAAGAAACCUCACGUGCCCUACAUAAUUCAGUUAUGAUUCCAGAGGAACUUGGUGCCUCAAAGUGACAGAUGAUUUUUAAAAAUAUUUCAACACCUGUGUACUAGAAGCAGCAUCACAUUAAGAAUCAAGAGUCCAGAGCUAGAUGCCAGGCCCUGCCAUUAAUUAGUUGUGUGACCUUCAGACACAGUGAGAAGAUGGCCAUGUGCAAUCUGGGAAGAGGGGCCUUGUCAAAAUAUGCCCAUGCUGCUACCCUGAUCUCACAUUUCCAUCUCCAGAACAGUGAGAAAAUAAACUUCUGUUGC